rnacentral:rRNA from 1 species
GAUGAACGCUGGCGGCGUGCUUAACACAUGCAAGUCGAACGGAAAGGCCCAAGCUUGCUUGGGUACUCGAGUGGCGAACGGGUGAGUAACACGUGGGUGAUCUGCCCUGCACUUCGGGAUAAGCCUGGGAAACUGGGUCUAAUACCGGAUAGGACCACUUCUUGGAUGUUGUGGUGGAAAGUUUUUUCGGUGUGGGAUGAGCUCGCGGCCUAUCAGCUUGUUGGUGGGGUAAUGGCCUACCAAGGCGUCGACGGGUAGCCGGCCUGAGAGGGUGUACGGCCACAUUGGGACUGAGAUACGGCCCAGACUCCUACGGGAGGCAGCAGUGGGGAAUAUUGCACAAUGGGCGCAAGCCUGAUGCAGCGACGCCGCGUGGGGGAGGACGGCCUUCGGGUUGUAAACUCCUUUCGCUAGGGACGAAGCGUUUUGUGACGGCACCUGGAGAAGAAGCACCGGCUAACUACGUG